AAUGGAAUCUCAUCAAUUCCAACAGUAUAUACACACAUCUAUAUAAAGAUUUCAAUACCGCUAUUAAUUUGACUAUAUAAUCUAACCUGAAUUAUCCAAUGGCCUAGACAAGUAAACUCAAGUUUAACCAACACAUACACUAUAACAAGCAACCCACAAUAGAAGUUAGCUGCAUUUAGAACAAAACACUAAUUCUAGACAAUGUCAUACUAUGGAGCAUCAGCCUUGCAAAGUGUACAAAGGAAAACUACUUUCAAAUAUAAGAAAUAAAUUUCUCAGUUCCAACAUGUGACUCAUUUGAUUAAAAAGAAAUGAUAUAUAUCAAGUGAUGCUACAUCAGGUUUUAAAUAUCAGAUUCAGAAUCGGUUUCAAAAUCGAAAAUGGCAUGAAGAAUCUGAUUGAAUAAGUCUGAAACAAACUAAAUCAACUGUCAAUUCUAUGAAUUUUUUAAAACAUUUAGUUCAAAGGAUUUUAAAUAAUGGAAUCGGAAAUGAUUGGAGAAUUGGAAACAGUGUAACAGAAUCGGCUGAUAUUUAAAAACAUGUGCUUAAUAUGCCAAAAAGAACUUGGGCCAAGUUUUAAUUGUAGCCACUUCUUUGGAAAUGAAUCAUUAUUUUCAUCUUCAUGCAUUAAUUACAAUUGUAGACAAGGUCCAAAAUCAGCUUCCAAACAAUGAUUUGGACAUUAAAAUAAUCCUAUAUUAUCAAAUAAGAGUCUUUUCUUUUAUCGAAUAGUUUGUAUUCUCGUUGUGUUUGUCAUCCAAGUGCAAUUGAUUGAUAUUACAUUAAAAAUUUAUUAAUUGAUGGCCACAUCAUCACUUGAAAAUGGAUUUUAGGUCCUGCCUACAAUUGUAAUUGAUACAAGUGUAGGUGAUAAUUAUGCAUCUACAGAAAUGCAGCCACAACUAUAAAUUUAGCCAAAAUCAGGUUUUUUGGGUCACUAACCCAUAAAGGGAGAGUAAAUUCCUGAUGGAUUGCUGGUGUAAGUUCUAUGCUAAUGUAAGUACCUAAAAUUGAGGGAUUAAGGAGAAUAACCCGUUGAGGAUAAAUCCAUUAUGCCUUAGUUGAAGCAUUUUGAUUGAAAGAAAUUGCAGUCUCUAAAUGAGCUGAGCCUGCUCUGGAUUACAU
rnacentral:misc_RNA from 1 species